AUACGAGGUGCAAGCGUUGUCCGGAAUUAUUGGGCGUAAAGAGCAUGUAGGCGGGAAUCUAAGUCUGUUGUGAAAAUGCGGGGCUCAACCCCGUAUGGCGAUGGAAACUGGAUUUCUUGAGUGCAGGAGAGGAAAAGGGAAUUCCCAGUGUAGCGGUGAAAUGCGUAGAUAUUGGGAGGAACACCAGUGGCGAAGGCGCCUUUCUGGACUGUGUCUGACGCUGAGAUGCGAAAGCCAGGGUAGC
rnacentral:rRNA from 1 species